UACGGAGGGUGCGAGCGUUGUCCGGAAUCAUUGGGCGUAAAGGGCGCGUAGGUGGCGGGACAAGCGUGCGGUGAAAGCUCGGGGCUCAACCCCGAGUCGGCCGUGCGAACUGUUUUGCUGGAGCACUGUAGAGGCAGGCGGAAUUCCGGGUGUAGCGGUGGAAUGCGUAGAUAUCGGGAGGAACACCAGUGGCGAAGGCGACUACCUGGCCUGUUCUUGACGCUGAGGCGCGAAAGCUAGGGGAGCAAACGGGG
rnacentral:rRNA from 1 species